UACGUAGGGUGCGAGCGUUGUCCGGAAUUAUUGGGCGUAAAGAGCUUGUAGGCGGUUUGUCGCGUCUGCUGUGAAAAUCCGGGGCUCAACCCCGGACUUGCAGUGGGUACGGGCAGACUAGAGUGUGGUAGGGGAGACUGGCAUUCCUGGUGUAGCGGUGAAAUGCGCAGAUAUCAGGAGGAACACCGAUGGCGAAGGCAGGUCUCUGGGCCACUACUGACGCUGAGAAGCGAAAGCAUGGGGAGCGAACAGG
rnacentral:rRNA from 1 species